GUUCAGACUGGAUAAUGUUUGACUCAGAACACAAACACUACAGGAACAAGCUAAAACAUGUCUGAGUGCUCUCACAAUCUCACUACACUGACGUGAAGAUAUUCUACAAAUCAUAUUUACAUCUUACAAGAAGGCCGUGUGGAUCUCCAGUGGUUCAGUACUCAUGGGUUGCAGUGGACUGCUGAUGUCAAACGCCUGUUUAUUUAUUCUGAGUCUGACAGGGGUGGGGAGGAGUGUUCCAGAAGCCUCUCUCUGUGCUGCCUACAGUGAGCAAGAGAGCAACAUGUUGAUCAAGCGAAGGCCCUGAAGGAACUGCUGUGCUUGACAAUGCUGCAUUUCAUAGACUGAAAAUACAGUAAACUCAGUCAUAGUUAAAUCGUAUUACAAUUUAUGAUAUUGAAAGAUUAAAUUAUUUUAAAGAUUUUAAAAUGUAAAUUUAUUGCUGUGAUAUGAUGGCAAAUUUGAAUUUUCAGCAGCCAUUCAGUGUCACAUGAUCCUUCAGUAAUCAUUUUAAUAUGCUGAUUGCUGCUCAAUAAACCUUAUUAUUAUCAAUGUUGAAAACA
ensembl:lncRNA